GAGCAGAAAAUAAUGAUGAGGCGAAAAAAAAAUUAUAUACGGAGAGAUGAAGAUCUACGAAAGGUUAUGAUGCAGAUAAGUAUCCCUCCACAUACACUAUACACAAAGAUAGAACAACAAUGAAUACCUGCAGAAAUUUCAUCUGCAUUUUGAUUGAUGCCUCGAAUCUUAAGUGAUUUUGUCAGUUUCCGCAUUUAAACAAACCUGUUUACAUAUAUGAAAAAAUUAGUAAAAACAAAUUGUAACGCAGUACAUAAAUAAAUAUCAGAUAAUCUUCAAUACAAAAACCCUUAUAGACUGAUGUGAAGAAUAUUAUGACUCUUUUAGAAAAAAUGGAAGCUUCUUAGAAUUGGUAAAAUGAACACUUAAGUGAAUCUGUUGUAACAAUGAUGAAAAAAGUGAAUCUAUUGUACCUGAUAAAUGAGAAUUUAUUACAGUUUUUAUUUAUAUAAGAGCUGGAAAACACAUCCAUUGAUGUAUCAAUUUCACGUAUCUCUGAGGUGUUUUUGUUUUAUAUAAAUUUCUUUAUAAUUUUGAUCGGGUUUAUUUUACUUUUUAUUUGGAAACGAAUUGCGAUUUCUUUGAAAGAGGCGGUGAUCUCGAAACAUAUACCAUCAAACUAUGAAAGCCUUGUAAUUUGGCUUGUUGAUGCGAAUCUAUAAUUAUUCUGAGCCUUCUGAUUUAAUCUUUGGUUUUGUUUGUUGUUUGCUUUGAAGAAACGUUUUUUUCCGAUUAUAAGGCAACAAAUUAGAGUCAUUGAUGCACUGUGUAAAUUAUAAUGGUGUUUUCAGUGCCGUGUGCUGCCGAAUCAUAAUUUUUAAGGUGCUGUGAUUCUGGCAUCAGUUUAUUUUUCCUUUGAGCUAUUGCAUUCUGAUGUGCCUACAUUUUUAAAUGUUGUUGGAGGUUGUAUUUCAUUUGAGAAUUUAUUAAGACACGAAUGUCAAUCAAAUUAUCAAAAAGGUAUUUCUGUCCAUAUAACUAGCGAUUCGCAAUUAGGGUUUUUGGCCUAAAGCUUUAAAUACACAUCAGUCGAAUUCAUCUAUUUCAUCGCCUCUCCCCAAAUACCUCCUCCUUUUCUUCUCCCUCUAGUAACAAUUUCGAUCACUUACUUCAGUUUCGUACAUACCGAUGAUAAAUUUAUGUGGCCGGUGAUGCAUAGAGAAUUGUCCGUACCAUCUGAUUUCGUUGAUGUAUUAAUCUCACAUAUCUCAAAGGCCUUUUUGUUUUAUAUAAAUUUCUUUAUAAUUUUGAUUUGUUUUAUUUGGAAACGAAUUGCGAUUUCUUCGAAAGAGGCGGUGAUCUCGAAACAUAUACCAUCAAACUAUGAAAGCCUUGUAAUUUGGUUUGUUGAUGCGAAUCUAUAAUUAUUCUGAGCCUUCUGAUUUAAUCUUUGGUUUUGUUUGUUGUUUGCUUUGAAGAAACAUUUUUGUUCCGAUUAUAAGGCAACAAAUUAGAGUCACUGAUGCACUGUGUAAAUUAUAAUGGUGUUUUAGUGCUGUAGUGCGAAUGAUAAUUUUUAAGGUGCUGUGAUUCUGGCAUCAGUUUAUUUUUCCUUUGAGCUAUUGCAUUCUGAUGUGCCUACAUUUUAAAUGUUGUUAGAGGUUUUAUUUCAUUUGAGAAUUUAUUAAGACAUGAAUGUCAAUCAAAUUAUCGAAAAGGUAAUUUUGUCCAUAUAACUAGCGAUUCGCUAAUUAGGGUUUCUGGCCUAAACUUUAAAUACACAUCAGUCGAAUUCAUCUAUUUCAUCGCCUCUCCCCAAAUACCUCCUUUUCUUCUCCCUCUAUUAACAAUUUCGAUCACUUACUUCAGUUUCGUACAUAAUGAUGAUAAAUUUAUGUGGCCGGUGAUGCAUAGAGAAUUGUCCGUACCAUCUGAUUUCGUUGAUGUAUUAAUCUCACGUAUCUCUGAGGCCUUUUUGUUUUAUAUAAAUUUCUUUAUAAUUUUGAUUGGUUUUAUUUGGAAACGAAUUGCCAUUUCUUCGAAAGAGGCGGUGAUCUCGAAACAUAUACCAUCAAACUUUGAAAGCCUUGUAAUUUGGCUUGUUGAUGCGAAUCUAUAAUUAUUCUGAGCCUUCUAAUUUAAUCUUUUGUUUUGUUUGUUGUUUGCUUUGAAAAAAUGUUUUUGUUCUGAUUAUAAGGCAACAAAUUAGAGUCACUGAUGCACUGUGUAAAUUAUAAUGGUGUUUUCAGCGCUGUACGUUGCCGAAAGAUAAUUUUUAAGGUGCUGUGAUUCUGGCAUCAGCUUAUUUUUCCUUUGAGCUAUUGCAUUCAAAUGCGCCUACAUUUUAAAUGUUGUUAGAGCUUUUAUUUCUAGUCAUAGUUUCAGAUUAAUUUCUAAUUUUUGAAACAUCAAUGAAGGAGGUGAGCCUCUGGAAUUCCACGUAAAAUGUCAUUCCUCAAAAGUACAGAUCCUGCACCAUACACAAAGAACACAACCAAAACGAACAUCAAGCAAAGAAAAGGAAAAAUAGAAAUAAAAAGAAACUAAGAAAAACAUGGGUUGUCUCCCAUGCAUCGCUAGUUUUACCGUCGCCAGUCCGACUAAAAAGAACUCUUAACCAAAGUCUGAUUGAAAUGUCAGUUGCUUAAAUGCCUGUGUAAACACACCCUCUUUAAUUACAGCUGUUGGCCCUCGUUAUGAGCNUACCUACAGGAAGCGCUGAGAAGCGCACAAAGCGCGCCUAGGUUAGAAGCGCUGAAGCGCGGGCUUUAGUAUGUAGGUUAGGUUUAAAUUAAAAACUAGGUUUAUUUCUUAAACAAAUGCUUGCCUCCCGUCUUCUCCCAUCCCUCUCGCGACCUUAACCUGUUAUGCCCACCAUCCGGCACCGUUAAAUGCUUCUAAUUAUGUUAAGGCGGGUAAGUAGUUUAGAUCAUCUAUCAUCUUUAAUUUUAUAUUUUUCAGUUCCAACUUCCAAGUUGUUUUUACUUAAUGAUUAAAGCUUAAUCUUUUUUUCAUAGGGAAAUUGCUUAUGGCCAAAAGACCACAUCUUUAUUGGACUCCAUGUGCCGCACAUUGUGUGGACUUGAUGUUGGAGGAUAUUGGAAAGCUUCCAAAGAUCAAGAAUGCCCUUAAGAAGGCGAUCUUCAUGAAUGGUUAUAUAUAUAACCAUGUCGGCGUUGUGAACAUGAUGAGGAGAUUCACCAAUCAAAGGAAUUUGCAUCGACCGGCGGUCACAAGGUUUGCAACUUUCUUCCUCACUCUUGCACAAUAUCACAAGCAAAAAUAUAAUUUGAGGAAGAUGGUCACUUCGGAAUUGUGGAUUGCUUCAAAGUGGCAAAAGGAUGCGGGGGGGGGGGAGAUGACAUCUCUUUUGUUUUGCAAGACACAUUUUGGAGGAAUGUGUUGUAUGCUCUUAAGUUGGUAGAUCCUCUUGUGAAAGUACUUCGGAUGGUUGAUGGGGAUAAAAAAUCGGCUAUAGGAUACAUUUAUGAAGCUAUGGAUAGAGCUAAGGAGGUUAUUGCUAAGAGUUUUGGUCAGAAGGAGGAGCAUUACAAAGAAGCUUUUGAGAUAAUUGAUAAAAGAUGGGAUUGCCAACUUCAUCGCCCUUUACAUGCGGCUAGAUACUUUCUAAAUCCGGAAAUCUAUUAUGAUAAUCCGGAGGGAGUGAGUUGUCAAGAGGUUGAGAAAGGCUUGUAUGAAAGCAUCCAAAGGUUGGUUCGCGAUGAAGCAAGUCAAGACAAGACCAUGGUUGAGUUAGAUGCCUACAAAAAUGCAACGGGGUCUAUUUGGCAAUGCAAUGGCGAUUAGACAUAGAAAGAUGAAAUCACCGGGUAAUAUUUCAUAUUUGAAAUUUCUAAUUGAUUUAAAAUUAAUUUAUAUCCCAUAUUCUAACAACAAUUUAUUUUUAAAAUGUCUAUAGCGGAUUGGUGGUCUUGUUAUGGAUCUUCAAGUCCCAACAAAUCUUUUGCGAUAAAAGUUCUUAGCCUCACUUGUAGUGCUACCAGAUGUGAGGGAAAUUGGAGUGUCUUUCAACAUGUAAGUUAUUAUUAUAUUUUACUUUUGCUAGAAUACAUAAAUUAUAAUUUUAAUCUAUUAUUUUAAAUAUUUUUAUAGCUUCAUACCAAGAAGAGAAACCGAUUGGCACAAGACCGACUAAAUCACUUGAUUUAUGUGAAGUAUAAUCGCACUUUGGAAAGGCGAUACAAGAGGAAAGACACAAUAGAUCCUAUUUUAUUAGAAGAGAUUGAUGAUAGCAAUGAAUGGUUGCUUGGACAUAUGGAUGAGGACUCUUCUAAUGAAGAUAGUGAUCUUGUGUUUGGAGAUGAUAAUUUGACAUGGAGUGUCGUUAGCAAGGCUUCGGGAGCUAAUGAUCCUAUUUAUAGCACUAGACAUGCAUCUAGAGUUGAUAAAGGAAAGGGUGUAGUUGCUUCGGGUUCGAGAAGACUCUUAGAUGAGGAUGAGGAUGAGGUUGGGAAGGAGAUGGAAGAGGACAUUGGCGAAGACAAAGAUGAUGAAGGAGAUGGGGAUGAUGCACUUAAUGAUGAUGAUUUUUGAUUAGUUGCUUGAGAUUUGAUUGAACUUUUAGACUUGCGUACUUUAAACUUAAGUAUUUGUGUGUUUUAAUUUUUAAAUUAAGUAUUUGUGUGUUUAAGUAUUUGUGGUUUUAAGUAUUUGUGGUUUUAAGUAUUUGUGUUUUUUGCUAUAAAAUAUAUUGUAGGUAAAUAUAUUAGAAUUUUUUGGGUUUUAGCGCGCCUCGCCUACGAAAAGCCCGCGCUUUCACCAAAAGCCCGCGUUUUAAGCCCCAGGGCAGUUUGCACUUCGGUGCGCUUCACGCUUUUUUAAACCAAGAUUUUGAUUGGUUUUAUUUGGAAACGAAUUGCGAUUUCUUCGAAAGACGUGGUGAUCUCGAAACAUAUACCAUCAAACUAUGAAAGCCUUGUAAUUUGGCUUGUUGAUGCGAAUCUAUAAUUAUUCUGAGCCUUCUGAUUUAAUCUUUGGUUUUGUUUGUUGUUUGCUUUGAAGAAACGUUUUUGUUCCGAUUAUAAGGCAACAAAUUAGAGUCACUGAUGCACUGUAUAAAUUAUAAUGGUGUUUUUAGCGCUGUACGUUGCCGAAAGAUAAUUUUUAAGGUGCUGUAAUUCUGGCAUCGGCUUAUUUUUCCUUUGAGCUAUUGCAUUCAGAUGCGCCUACAUUUUAAAUGUUGUUAGAGCUUUUAUUUUCUUUGAGAAUUUAUAAAGACAUGAAUGCAAUCAAAAUAUCGAAAAGGUCAUUUCUGUCCAAAUAACUAGCGUUUCGCAAUUAGGGUUUUUGGCCUAAAGCUUUAAAUACCCAUCAGUCGAGUUCAACUAUUUCGUCGCCGCUCCCCAAAUUCCUCCUCUUCUCCCUCUAGUAACAAUUUCGAUCUCUUACUUCAGUUUCGUACAUAACGAUGAUAAAUUUAUGUGGCCGGUGAUGCAUAGAGAUUUGUCCGUACCAUCUGAUUUCGUUGAUGUAUCAAUUUCACGUAUCUCUGAGGUCUUUUUGUUUUAUAUAAAUUUCUUUAUAAUUUUGAUCGGGUUUAUUUUACUUUUUAUUUGGAAACGAAUUGCGAUUUCUUCGAAAGAGGCGGUGAUCUCAAAACAUAUACCAUCAAACUAUGAAAGCCUUGUAAUUUGGCUUGUUGAUGCGAAUCUAUAAUUAUUCUGAGCCUUCUGAUUUAAUCUUUGGUUUUGUUUGUUGUUUGCUUUGAAGAAACGUUUUUGUUCCGAUUAUAAGGCAACAAAUUAGAGUCAUUGAUGCACUGUGUAAAUUAUAAUGGUGUUUUCAGUGCUGUACGCUGCCGAAUGAUAAUUUUUAAGGUGCUGUGAUUCUGGCAUCAGCUUAUUUUUCCUUUGAGCUAUUGCAUUCUGAUGCGCCUACAUUUUAAAUGUUGUUAGAGGUUUUAUUUCAUUUGAGAAUUUAUGAAGACACGAAUGCAAUCAAAAUAUCGAAAAAGGUUUUUUUGUCUAAAUAGCAAUUCGCAAUUAGGGUUUCUGGCCUAAAGCUAUAAAUACCCAUCAGUCGAGUUCAUCUAUUUCGUCGCCUCUCCCCAAAUUCCUCCUCCUCUUCUCCCUCUAGUAACAAUUUUAAUCUCUUACUUCAGUUUCGUACAUAACGGUGAUAAAUAUAUGUGGCCGGUGAUGCGUAGAGAAUUGUCCGUACCAUCUGAUUUCGUUGAUGUAUUAAUCUCACAUAUCUCUGAGGCCUUUUUGUUUUAUAUAAAUUUCUUUAUAAUUUUGAUUGGUUUUAUUUGGAAACGAAUUGCGAUUUCUUCGAAAGAGGCGGUGAUCUCGAAACAUAUACCAUCAAACUAUGAAAGCCUUGUAAUUUGGCUUGUUGAUGCGAAUCUAUAAUUAUUCUGAGCCUUCUGAUUUAAUCUUUGGUUUUGUUUGUUGUUUGCUUUGAAGAAACAUUUUUGUU
rnacentral:lncRNA from 1 species